AUAAAUCAACCGUGGACCACGGCAAGACAACCUCAUCCGAGGCGUAUCACAGUCAAACAUCAGAUGACUCCAGGGCUUUGUGCUCAGUGGGAGGUUUCCUUUGGAGCAGAACUGAAAGGGAACACUCAUUAUUCUUGGAUAUGUGCCAGUGAAACAGGAGACGCUCUGCCACUGAGGACUGGGAGUGAUGGAAAUGAUAAAAAACUGAGAUCUGGGGGGACUGGAGCAAAAAUGGAACAGUUUGCUGACGGCUCAGAAAAACCAUUGAUGGGGCCUUGCCUUCUGAUACAAGGCAUCUUCAAUCAAUCAUUUCACAGCCUCUUGCUGCUGCCAAAUGCUUGGGGAUCAUGCAAUAUCUUUCGAUUUAAAUUGCUUUCUUCUUUAAGACUCUCUUCGGUGACGGGUAUUCUUGGGUGGAUAAUACAGAUUGCGUUGUUAUUGCUUAAGAAUACGCGUAGUUGAGGAGAGUCAUUUCUUCGGCGACUUCAAGGAACUUAAAUCCAUUGACCCUAAAGUACCUGGAUGCCUGUUUGUUUCUGUAUUUUUUUUUCCUUAACAUUGAGGGCAAUUACAUAGUGAAUUUAAAUGAACGCUGGGGUACGUUGUGAAGCCGCCAGUGAAAACAUCAUUUAUUUCAUACUCUUUUCAUGAUUGCAGCUUUGAGUCUUUGAAUCAUGUGCUAGCUGGAACAACGCUGGCCGUUAAUAAUUUUCUUGGAAUAAUAAAAAAAAAAAUGUUAACAUAACCAGCAUUGUUGUGUGUUAUGUUUAAUAGACCAUAUACGUAUUUGAUAUUCCCAAUACCUUAGUGUAGGCCACUCGCUGGAAAUAUACUUCUUGUAUAUUUAUUAGAAAUAAUGUUGCAUAUUUGUAUGCAUUUCAACUGAUUGUAAUGGGCAGCUGAAUUUUAAAUAGAAAUUAUUAACAAAAGCAUUUGUAUUAUUUACAGUUUUGUAGUAAAAUAUGUCGCUCUCCAUCAUUUAAUGGUGAGUGAUUUUGAAAUGAUAUAUAUCAUACAAGUUCCCAUUCCUCACUAACUGUGAAACAAAAUGUCCACCAUGGACUGACAGCCUGGCACUACAUAUGCAGUGGCACUGGCACUGGCACUGGCAGUGCAGUGGCACUGGUACUAUAAUAUUUGCAGUACUGUAGUAAAAUAUGUCCCUUGGAAUACAAACUCUCCAUCUUUUAAUGAUAAGUCAUUUCAAGUUAUGUCUAUCAUACAAGUGUCCCAUCCUCAAUAACUGUGAAACAAAAUGUCCACCAUGGACUGGCAGCCUGGCACUAUAUAUGCAGUUUGUGACUGAAUUUGAAUAAAGUACACGCAUGUGCACACAAACACAUAGACGCUCACAGACACAAGAUAAGGAAAUAACAGAGUCCCAGUUGCACAGGUGCUACAAAUAGAUUCCACUAUAAGGUGCAUUGGUCUAAACUUACAUUGUGUGUAGGGGAUUGAUAUAAUAGUUAGGUGUAAAUUACAAACAUGUGCAACAUAGCAGCCUCUAUGUACCGCUAAAGUAUUUCAUUGUGAAAAUCAAUAAAGCAUUUGCCUUUUUA